GCGUCGGUAGUUCAGUGGUAGAAUACUCGCCUGCCACGCGGGUGACCCGGGUUCAAUAUCCGGCUGACGCA
rnacentral:tRNA from 1 species